rnacentral:rRNA from 1 species
UAAGGAAUAUUGGGCAAUGGACGCAAGUCUGAUCCAGCCAUGCCGCGUGAAGGAUGAAUGCUCUCUGGGUUGUAAACUUCUUUUAUAGGGGAAGAAAGAUACUUUUUUUAAGGUAGUUGACGGUACCCUAUGAAUAAGCACCGGCUAACUCCGUGCCAGCAGCCGCGGUAAUACGGAGGGUGCAAGCGUUAUCCGGAUUUACUGGGUUUAAAGGGUGCGUAGGCGGGCAUGUAAGUCAGUGGUGAAAUACCGGAGCUUAACUUCGGAACUGCCAUUGAUACUAUAUGUCUUGAAUAUUGUGGAGGUAAGCGGAAUAUGUCAUGUAGCGGUGAAAUGCAUAGAUAUGAGAUAGAACACCGAUUGCGGAGGCAGCUUGUUACGCAAAUAUUGACGCUGAGGCACGAAAGCGUGGGG